CUUCGGUCCUAGUGGCGGACGGGUGAGUAACGCGUGAGAAUCUGCCUUCAGGAGGGGGACAACAGUUGGAAACGACUGCUAAUACCGCAUAUGCCGAGAGGUGAAAGGAUUAAUUGCCUGAAGAUGAGCUCGCGUCAGAUUAGGUAGUUGGAGUGGUAAGAGCACCCCAAGCCGACGAUCUGUAGCUGGUCUGAGAGGAUGACCAGCCACACUGGAACUGAGACACGGUCCAGACUCCUACGGGAGGCAGCAGUGGGGAAUUUUCCGCAAUGGGCGCAAGCCUGACGGAGCAAGACCGCGUGCGGGAAGACGGUCUGUGGAUUGUAAACCGCUUUUGUCAGGGAAGAAGGAUUGACGGUACCUGACGAAUCAGCCUCGGCUAACUCCGUGCCAGCAGCCGCGGUAAUACGGAGGAGGCAAGCGUUAUCCGGAAUUAUUGGGCGUAAAGCGUCCGUAGGUGGUUUGCCAAGUCUGCUGUCAAAGGAUGAGGCUCAACCUCAUAAGGGCAGUGGAAACUGGUGAGCUAGAGUGCGGUAGGGGUAGGGGGAAUUCCUGGUGUAGCGGUGAAAUGCGUAGAUAUCAGGAAGAACACCGGUGGCGAAAGCGCCCUACUGGGGCCUGCACUGACACUGA
rnacentral:rRNA from 1 species